UUCAGUCAAAGAUCUCUUGGAAAAAUUAUUUCGACAAGAUUCACUCUAUAAUGUUGUUAUCAUUGUCCUCUGGAAUAUAUGGAAGCGCAAAAACUCCAAGGUCUUCCGGGAUGUUUUUGAGGAAUUGCACAUUACUGCUAGCAAGAUUGCUGAUGAUUGAUACCAUGGUCCAACAGUUUUAUGAAGUGGUUCAGGCUGGCGUAAGCCGCCAUAGUCCCAGUAAAAAAAGGCUACAAGCUUCGCUUCGGCCUUUCGGAACUGAAUAUUAUGUAGUUUUAUUGAGAUUAUUGAUAGUGCUUCUCUACUAUCAAAGAAGAUUAACCGAGCUAAGAAUUUUUGUGAAGCUAAAGCUGGUGUUAAGAUGAACGCCGCUAUGUAUAUAUUUGAAACAGUUAGAUACAUGCUUGACAGACUAUAUAGGGGUGAUCAAAACCAUGCAAAGCAUUAUGGGACAAGUUUCUCUACCUUAAAUAAGUAUAUGAACUUCAAAUUAUCCUGCAAUGUAUUGACUGCUCGGAGCUAACUUGACUACGCCAGUUUUCUUUUAUGGCUCAAAGUAGUUAGUGUCCCCCCUUAUUAUGAGAGAGGUUCUAUGGCAGUGGAGUAAUGUUCGUAAAUUAUAUAUUGCUUUCAAGUUUGGAGCUGGAAUAAUAUAUGUGCUGCAUUUAGUUAUAGUCUUAUAGAUAUACAUGAACAUCCAUUGUAUAUUUCUUGCA